rnacentral:lncRNA from 1 species
UUUUUAAAUUUUUUAUAAGGUUUAGCCGACGAAAUAUAAAAUAUUUCGUCGGCUAUAGUUAUUUUUUAAUUUUUAUAAGGUUUAGCCGACGAAAUAUAGUAAAUUUCGUCGGCUAUAGUUAUUUUUUAAUUAUUUAUUACACACUUUAGCCGACGAAUAUAUUAAUUGUUUCGUCGGCUAAAGUCUGGGAAAAAAACAGACGACAUGUUUUUCGUCGGCUAACUGUGGGACUAUAGCCGACGAAAAAAAAAAUUUCGUCGGCUAAAGUCAUCACAGACGAGCUUUUCCCGACGACACUAUAGCCGACGAGCCUUCGUCGGCUAAGAUCUUAGCCGACGAAUUAAGAUAACAGGCCGACGAAAAUUUUUCGUCGGCUAAAGUGCUUGUCCUGGUAGUGGAAAGACAAAUCGGUCCAUGAUCAGAAGAAAUAAUUGGGAGGUUUUCAAGCUUUGCAUUAGGGAAAGAGACUAAAAAUUCAGAGUUAC